rnacentral:tRNA from 1 species
ACCCUUGUAACUUAAUGGCAAAGUAGCGGCCUCUUAAGCCGACAACCGAGGUUCGAUUCCUCGUAGGGGUA